rnacentral:rRNA from 1 species
AACGAACGCUGGCGGCAGGCCUAACACAUGCAAGUCGAACGCAUCGCAAGAUGAGUGGCGCACGGGUGAGUAACACGUGGGAAUGUACCCUUUGGUUCGGAAUAACGUUCGGAAACGAACGCUAAUACCGGAUGAGCCCUACGGGGGAAAGAUUUAUCGCCAAAGGAGCAGCCCGCGUCUGAUUAGCUAGUUGGUGGGGUAAAGGCCUACCAAGGCGACGAUCAGUAGCUGGUCUGAGAGGAUGAUCAGCCACACUGGGACUGAGACACGGCCCAGACUCCUACGGGAGGCAGCAGUGGGGAAUAUUGGACAAUGGGCGCAAGCCUGAUCCAGCCAUGCCGCGUGAGUGAUGAAGGCCUUCGGGUUGUAAAGCUCUUUCGCACACGACGAUGAUGACGGUAGUGUGAGAAGAAGCCCCGGCUAACUUCGUGCCAGCCGCCGCGGUAAUAC